AAAUAACACUAGCAUUUUGCCAUAUUCCAGCUCUGGGCCAGCUCUGCUUCCUGGUCUGCCUUUCAAUCUUUUCCUUGCUUCUGGCAUGAGUUCCCUUCUCUCCUGAGAAACCAAUGAUGCAUUUGAAAAUACACAUAGCUAUACAUAUUGUAAAGAUAUCAUUUAGCAAGGAUGCGCCUUAUUGGAUGGCCUUUCAUGUUGCUGGGACAGAGAACAGGGCAGUUCCAGGUCCCUGCAAAUGACGGAAGCAGUCCUGUUUCAAAACGCUAUUAAGCAUGCUUCUGAGCUGCGGACAGUCAUCGGACCAGUCUUCAGCCGUGCCCAUGACAGUAGCAGUGACAGCACACCACUUUGCUCAUGAUAUGGAUCAGGGUUAAUUUUCAAGUUUUAGAUGGCUCUCCCUCUUUGAGUUGCCAUUUGUUUCUUCUUAUAACCUACUGAUCAUGCCUUUAGUAUUCAUAAAUAUUGAAAAGGGAAGGCCUCAGGUGACUUACAAAGGCGCCGAUGUAAAUACGUGUUUCUGGGGAGAAGUGAAGGUGUUGGAUGAUGCCUGACUAUCACAGGUGUUCUUGUACCACAU